GACGAACGCUGGCGGCGUGCCUAAUACAUGCAAGUAGAACGCUGAAGGAGGAGCUUGCUUCUCCGGAUGAGUUGCGAACGGGUGAGUAACGCGUAGGUAACCUGCCUGGUAGCGGGGGAUAACUAUUGGAAACGAUAGCUACUACCGCAUAACAGUAGGUGUUGCAUGACAUUUGCUUAAAAGGUGCAAUUGCAUCACUACCAGAUGGACCUGCGUUGUAUUAGCUAGUUGGUGAGGUAACGGCUCACCAAGGCGACGAUACAUAGCCGACCUGAGAGGGUGAGCGGCCACACUGGGACUGAGACACGGCCCAGACGCCUACGGGAGGCAGCAGUAGGGAAUCUUCGGAAAUGGAAGGAAGUCUGAGCGAGAAACGCCGCGUGAGUGAAGAAGGUUUUCGGAUCGUAAAGCUCAGUUGUAAGAGAAGAACGAGGGUGAGAGUGGAAAGUUAACACUGUGACGGUAUCUUACCAGAAAGGGACGGCUAACUACGUG
rnacentral:rRNA from 1 species